UUUUUUUUUUUUUUUUUUUUUUUGCAAAGAGCGAGUUCUUUAACUUUCCCAGGACUUGGCGAAGCUCCGGGACGCGCUAGGGAUACCACGGAGAACAGCAGUGUAAUGUGUGGCUGUCCCCGCUCUCUCCACCUCCCUACUUCCUAAAAGAGACUCCCUGUGCUUCCCAUUGCCACCCCAUGUGUGAGAAGAGAUGGUUGAAUAGAUAUGUCAUCCAUACAGAAGAGGGCACACGAUAUGUUUACGGUGUAAAGAAGAAUCAUUUGUGAGCCCCAAUUUGGCCCCUAUCUAGGUCAACUCUGCUGGAAGCACCCAGCCCCUGGGUGUGUCUCUGCAAGCAAAGUCACCUUCCUUCCCCAUGGACAGACCACCCUCCUGACUCGUCGGGUUAUCUUUUCAUUGCUCUUCUUUACAUUUGUACCACUGUGUUUCCCCAGAAAUGUAGCUGAGGCUUUCCUAUUUUCUCUCUUUUUAUAAAUGGAAUAACACUCUAGGAAGGCUUUAUAUAUCUGGGUUUUUUUUUCAUGAUAUUGUUUGUGAAACUCGUUCAUAUACUGUGUAACUGAAGUUCAUUCACGUUUACUGCUGUAUAGUAUUCUGUCAUGACCAUGUCACUGUCUACUUAUCCAUUCUGUGGAUGGACACUGGGCAUCCCCCAUUUGGGGCUAUCAUUAGCAAUGCUGCUGUAGAGAUUCAUGUUCUGUUCUUGGUGCAUUUGUUUGUGAAUUUCUUCAGGGCCACACCUGGGAAGGGAACGGUCAGAUCUUGA